AUUGAACGCUGGCGGCAGGCUUAACACAUGCGAGUCGAGCGAGCGGCGGACGGGUGAGUAAUGUCUGGGAAACUGCCUGAUGGAGGGGGAUAACUACUGGAAACGGUAGCUAAUACCGCAUACCAUCGGAUGUGCCCCGAUGGGAUUCGCUAGUAGGUGGGGUAAAGGCUCACCUAGGCGACGAUCCCUAGCUGGUCUGAGAGGAUGAACAGCACAACUGGAACUGCGACACGGUCCAGACUCCUACGUGAUGCAGCAGUGGGGAAUAGUGCACAAUUGGCGCAAGUCUGAUGAAGCCAUGCCGAGUGUAUGAAGAAGGCCUUCGGGUUGUAAAGGACUUUCAGCGGGGAGGCGUUACCCGCAGAAGAAUCACCGGCUAACUCCGUGCCAGCAGCCGCGGUAAUAC
rnacentral:rRNA from 1 species